ACUCCUCUUGUUCUAGUUCCAAAGUAUUACACUUAUAAUGUCUGUGUUAUGACAUGUUAUAUAUACAGUUCGAACGUCUGUUGAUAUAUAUGCUUGAAUGUAAUCAAAAAUUGCUCUUGUGAAUGCUGUAGGUGACACACUUUCCUUGGUCAAGGUCUUCGUGACAUCCGCGUCAGUCCCGGACACACCCCUUAUUUUGCCGACCAUUUCUGGGGCGACUACCCUUCGCGAUGUCGUCGGCGAAGAUCCUAUUGAGUGGAGCUACAAGGACCUCAUGCGCCGGGCUUGAAAUGUUGGUACCGAUACACCCAUGUUAAUUGCCCCGUUUGUCAUAUGGAUUGAAUGUCGAACCUGUCUUUGGAUGGAUUGUGUUGAGUUUUUGUUGAACUAUGUCUGGAAUUGAUGCGUAGACCUUUGUGGUUUGAAUUCGUAUGGUGAAAAAUGUGCCUAAUGGGAUUGAUGGAUAACCGUAUUUGCUUAUUGCGUUGUUUACUUGUGUUUGAACUGUUAAGCACGUUUUGCGGAACAGGUUGUUGAUGUGUAGAUACUAGUAGGCUUGUUCUAUGGGUUGCUUUACUUUGUUGGUAGGUAUGGAAUUCAGAUUUUAAUA